AGACAUCUCCGGGUUGUCAAAGGAGUGAUCCGGCAGAGGAUGGACAUGCGGCGCAUUAGCUAGUCGGCGGGGUAACGGCCCACCGAGGCUACGAUGCGUAGGGGUUCUGAGAGGAAGGUCCCCCACACUGGUACUGAGACACGGACCAGACUCCUACGGGAGGCAGCAGUGAGGAAUAUUGGUCAAUGGGCGGAAGCCUGAACCAGCCAAGUCGCGUGAGGGAAGACGGUCCUAUGGAUUGUAAACCUCUUUUGCAGGGGAGCAAGGCGCGGUACGUGUACCGCGAAGGAGAGUACCCUGAGAAAAAGCAUCGGCUAACUCCGUGCCAGCAGCCGCGGUAAUACGGAGGAUGCGAGCGUUAUCCGGAUUUAUUGGGUUUAAAGGGUGCGCAGGCGGACUGUUAAGUCAGCGGUAAAAUGUCGGUGCUCAACACCGGCCGGCCGUUGAAACUGGCAGCCUUGAGUGAGCGAGAAGUAUGCGGAAUGCGUGGUGUAGCGGUGAAAUGCAUAGAUAUCACGCAGAACUCCGAUUGCGAAGGCAGCAUACCGGCGCUCAACUGACGCUCAGGCACGAAAGCGUGGGUAUCGAACAGGCUUAGAUACCCUGGUAGUCCACGCAGUAAACGAUGAAUGCUCACUGUCCGGGCCGUUUAAGGCCUGGGUGGUCA
rnacentral:rRNA from 1 species